CACUGCUGGGAGAGAGGAGCAACGCGAAGGGCUGCUAAAACCAGGUGUUCUCCUACUGGAGCUGCAGCAGAGCCUCUCUUCAUCCCAAACCAGCGAGGUUGUGGAAGUGUUGAGAGUUUAGGAGUCAGUAGGCGAGCUCUCUCCCCUUGGGACUUGGGUAGGGUUGCUGCUGAGCUAUCUCUGUUUCUUUGGGAUCAGCACGGUGCUGCUCUUGGAGGCCAAGGGAGACCUCUGGGUGGCCUCAGCCCCCCAAAAGGGUUUGUAGGUCCUUCAGCUCCUGCCUCCAGCAGCGGGAGCGAGCAGCAGGAUGGGACUGGGUGUUUCCACCUUCCUUAUGUGCAUGACCUCAUUCCCAUCGUGGUGGGUGAACUUGUAUGCCUGGAAUGCUGUUUGUUACGGAUUGCAUGUUUUUUUUCCAGAAGGACAAUCCAGCAGGGUGAUGGAGUUGCUUUUCAGGUGAGAGAGCUGGAAAGGAUUGAGCCCUGCCUAGGGAUGAAUGAACAACUAGAGGAGUGCUUGUGAGCUGUGACUGCUGAGGAUGCUCCUUGACGAUCCUGGAUCCCAGAGGAAAGCGUCUUUGAGGAAGGAUGCCUUCCUGAUUGCAGAGGAGGCGGCAAAGAUCACGUGGACAAAAUUGGUGCCCCCCAGGAAAGUUGUGUGAGGACGGGAGGAUAGCCAGCAUCACGGCAGCCUUCAAAAAGGGUGUCAUUUCCAAGGAACUUGAAGAGUUUGCUAGGAAGCAGUCAAGGUGGCAUCACUGAGGGGAAAUUGUGCUGCUCCAACCUGGGAGCGUCAGGUCAGAAGAGCAGGGGAUGCUGCAAACCUGACUUCGGUGUUUCUGUUGGCGUUUUUGUAAUGAACUUAACAAGUGUGAGAUGGUGACCUGGAUGAAGGGAGAGUCUCUAAUGUCGGUGAGUGAGCGGAUGAUGCGAAGCUGGGAGGAGCAGUGACAUUCAGCGGGACCCCAUAAACUGUGGAGAGCAGGUCAAGCAGAGGGGAAAGCUGUACAUGGGGUCUAAUGGAGGGCAAUGAUGAGGGGCCUGGAGCAUCUCCCUGUGGAGGACUGGAUGAGGACCUACAGCUGUUUGAUGAAGAGAAGGAUGGAGGCUGCAAAGGAGUGUUUUUUUUGGCAAGGAUCUGCCUGAACAUGAGUGGUGGAAUGGAGGAGGUAAGAGCCCUCAGCUGUGUUGUGUAGGUGUGGAGGCUCCUUUGUCAGAGGUUUGGUGCUGGAACAAGGAUUGCUGUGUGACUGCCUCUACAGAGGAAGGUGUUUUUCCAGUGGAGUGGAAUUGAUGGA
ensembl:lncRNA